rnacentral:rRNA from 1 species
UACGGAGGGUGCAAGCGUUAUCCGGAUUCACUGGGGUUAAAGGGUGCGUAGGUGGGUUGGUAAGUCCGUGGUGAAAUCUCCAAGCUUAACUUGGAAACUGCCGUGGAUACUAUCAAUCUUGAAUAUUGUGGAGGUAAGCGGAAUAUGUCAUGUAGCGGUGAAAUGCUUAGAUAUGACAUAGAACACCGAUAGCGAAGGCAGCUUGCUACACAAUCAUUGACACUGAGGCACGAAAGCGUGGGGAGCAAACGGG